rnacentral:tRNA from 1 species
CGGGCGGUAGGAUAGGGGUAUUCCGCGUGGUUCGGGACCACGAGAUCGGGGGUUCAAAUCCCCCCCGCCCGA